UAUAAAAAUGGCGCGUCUAGCGACGCGUUCACUCUACCGGCGAACGGGUGAGUAACACGUGGGCAAUCUGCCCUGAAGACGGGGACAACCUCGGGAAACCGGGGCUAAUACCCGAUACCCUCCUCGGGGGGCAUCCUCUCGGGAGGAAAAGGUCCGCAAGGUCCGCUUCUGGAGGAGCCCGCGGCCUAUCAGCUAGUUGGUGGGGUAACGGCCUACCAAGGCGAUGACGGGUAGGUGGUCUGAGAGGACGAUCACCCACACUGGGACUGAGACACGGCCCAGACUCCUACGGGAGGCAGCAGUUGGGAAUAUUGGGCAAUGGGCGCAAGCCUGACCCAGCGACACCGCGUGGGGGACGAAGGCCUUCGGGUCGUAAACCCCUGUCAGGGGGGACGAAGCCCGCCGCAAGGCGGGUGACGGUACCUCCAGAGGAAGCCCCGGCUAACUACGUGCCAGCAGCCGCGGUAAGACGUAGGGGGCGAGCGUUGUCCGGAUUUACUGGGCGUAAAGCGCGUGCAGGCGGUCCGUUAAGUCUCGUGUGAAAUCCUCCGGCCCAACCGGAGAACGCCGCGGGAUACUGGCGGGCUUGAGGGCGGUAGAGGGUGAUGGAAUUCCCGGUGGAGCGGUGAAAUGCGUAGAUAUCGGGAGGAACGCCAGUGGCGAAGGCGGUCACCUGGGCCGUCCCUGACGCUGAGACGCGAAAGCUGGGGGAGCGAACGGGAUUAGAUACCCCGGUAGUCCCAGCCGUAAACGAUGCUCACUAGGUGUUGGGGGGUUACUCCCUCAGUGCCGCAGCCAACGCAUUAAGUGAGCCGCCUGGGUAGUACUGCCGCAAGGUUGAAACUCAAAUGAAUUGACGGGG
rnacentral:rRNA from 1 species